GACGAACGCUGGCGGCGUGCUUAACACAUGCAAGUCGAACGAUGAACCAGGGCUUGCCCUGGGGAUUAGUGGCGAACGGGUGAGUAACACGUGGGCAACCUGCCCCAGACACCGGGAUAACCGUUCGAAAGAGUGGCUAAUACCGGAUACGACCACUUUGGGCAUCCAACGGUGGUGGAAAGGAUUCUGGUCUGGGAUGGGCCCGCGGCCUAUCAGCUUGUUGGUGGGGUAAUGGCCUACCAAGGCGACGACGGGUAGCCGGCCUGAGAGGGCGACCGGCCACACUGGGACUGAGACACGGCCCAGACUCCUACGGGAGGCAGCAGUGGGGAAUAUUGCGCAAUGGGCGAAAGCCUGACGCAGCGACGCCGCGUGAGGGACGAAGGUCUUCGGAUUGUAAACCUCUUUCAGCAGGGACGAAGCGAAAGUGACUGUACCUGCAGAAGAAGCACCGGCUAACUACGUGCCAGCAGCCGCCGUAAUAC
rnacentral:rRNA from 1 species